rnacentral:rRNA from 1 species
AUGAACGCUGACAGAAUGCUUAACACAUGCAAGUCGAUGGGGAAGUGGUGCUUGCACCAUGGCAACCAUGGCGGACGGGUGAGUAACGCGUAAGGGACUUACCUGCAGGACUGGGAUAACAGGGGGAAACUCCUGACAAGACCGGAUAAUGUCAUGGAGCUGCAUGGCUUUAUGAUGAAAGGAGACGCCUGCGGAGAGCCUUGCGUCCUAUUAGCUAGUUGGUGAGGUAAUGGCUCACCAAGGCGAAGAUAGGUAGCCGGCCUGAGAGGGUGGACGGCCACAAGGGGACUGAGAUACGGCCCUUACUCCUACGGGAGGCAGCAGUGGGGAAUAUUGGACAAUGGGGGCAACCCUGAUCCAGCAAUUCUGUGUGCACGAAGAAGGUUUUCGGAUUGUAAAGUGCUUUCAGCAGGGAAGAAGUAAGUGACGGUACCUGCAGAAGGAGCGACGGCUAAAUACGUG